rnacentral:tRNA from 1 species
GGGGAGGUGGCUCAGCGGUUAAAAGCACUGACUGCUCUUCCAGAGGUCCUGAGGUCAAUUCCCAGCAACUACA